rnacentral:rRNA from 1 species
GAUGAACGCUGGCGGCGUGCCUAAUACAUGCAAGUCGAGCGAACGGACGAGAAGAUUGCUUCUCUGAUGUUAGCGGCGGACGGGUGAGUAACAAGUGGAUAACCUACCUAUACGACUGGGAUAACUUCGGGAAACCGGAGCUAAUACCGGAUAAUAUUUUGAACCGCAUGGUUCAAAAGUGAAAGACGGUCUUGCUGUCACUUAUAGAUGGAUCCGCGCUGCAUUAGCUAGUUGGUAAGGUAACGGCUUAACAACGCAACGAUGCAUAGCCGACCUGAGAGGGGGAGCGGCCACACUGGAACUGAGACACGGUCCAGACUCCUACGGUAGGCAGCAGUAGGGAAUCUUCCGCUAUGGGCGGAAGCCUGACGUGACAACGCCGCGUGAGUGAUGGAGGUCUUCGGAUCGUAAAACUCUGUUAUUAGGGAAGAACAUAUGUGUAAGUAACUGGGCACAUCUUGACGGUACCUAAUCAGAAAGCCACGGCUAACUACGUG